rnacentral:misc_RNA from 1 species
AGGGAUCAUUACCGAGUUCAUGCCCUUACGGGUAGAUCUCCCACCCUAUGUUAUAUUACCUUUGUUGCUUUGGCAGGCCGUCAGGCUUCGGUCGGGCUACCGGCUCCGGCUGGUAAGCGCCUGCCAGAGGACCCUAAACUCUGAAUAUUAGUGUUGUCUGAGUACUAUAAAAUAGUUAAAACUUUCAACAACGGAUCUCUUGGUUCUGGCAUCGAUGAAGAACGCAGCGAAAUGCGAUAAGUAAUGUGAAUUGCAGAAUUCAGUGAAUCAUCGAAUCUUUGAACGCACAUUGCGCCCCUUGGCAUUCCGAGGGGCAUGCCUGUUCGAGCGUCAUUACAACCCUCAAGCACUGCUUGGUAUUGGGCUCCGCUGGUUUCAGCGGGCCUUAAAAUCAGUGGCAGCGCCGUCUGAGCUCUGAGCGUAGUAAAUAUCCUCGCUAUAGAGACCAGGUGGCUCUUGUCAUCAACCCUAAACUUUCUAAGUUUGACCUCGGAUCAGGUAGGGAUACCCGCUGAACUUAA